UACGUAGGGGGCGAGCGUUGUCCGGAGUUACUGGGCGUAAAGGGCAUGCAGGCGGUCGGACGCGUUUCGGGUGACAGCGGGUGGCUUAACUACCCGAGUGGUCGAAAGACGGUUUGACUUGAGGACGCGAGAGGGACACGGAAUUCCGGGUGGAGUGGUGAAAUGCGUAGAGAUCCGGAGGAACACCGAAGGCGAAGGCAGUGUCCUGGCGCGUAACUGACGCUGAGGGUGCGAAAGCCAGGGGAGCGAACGGG
rnacentral:rRNA from 1 species